rnacentral:lncRNA from 1 species
AAAGUUCUAAUCAAACAAUUUUCCUACUCUCCAGGUUAAGAGGCCUUCAUCUGGCCUCUUUAUGGACAUGGGGAUUUCAGAAUUUAUACUGACAAGUAACUUGUGCCCCCCAUGAUUUCUACCAUUGUAUGUUGGAUGUGUAUAGGGAGACUGUAGGCAGAUUCUUAGUUCCGAGGGCUACAAGGAACCACAUUCAGACCUGACAGAGAAUAUCCUUUUAUUCAGAGAUCCUGAACUUAGAGCUGUAUACGGUGAUCAGAUGGGACUUUGACUGUUUCUCUUGGAGAAGAGUGAAUGUCUUCUAUAUGCAGGAAGAGUGAAACAUAUUUGGUGACCAGAGGUAGAGUAUAGCCAAGAAUGCUACUGCUUGGCAAUAUGAGCUAUAGCUUCCGGCCUCCUUUAAAAUUAGGAGUGGUCAAUUGGCUGCAUUCUGGUCAACUGAAUAUAAAUGCAAAAGAUGUUCUGCAGAGUUUUCAUGACCUCUGUUGAAUAUCAACUCUGGGAAAGUCAAUAUUUACGGAGUUUUAAAAGGGAGUACAAAUCAAAAGUAAAAGACAGCUUCAGUUGGCACAAGAAAAAAUACUUCAUGGGUAAAAGAGUACAAAAGAGGACCAUUAAGGAUGGAGUAAUGUAGGCUUCACCUUGAGGCUUCCUCAAGAUAGUCACCAGCACCACUGGCAUGACCUGAACACACAAUGUAAUGAACUACCAAAGUCAAGCAGAUGUCAACCUUUCGAUUAAGGAACAACACAAGAACACGCAAGAUUCUGUCCUCCUAAGAGCAGCUAUGACCAACAAACUACCAGACUUUUCAAAGACAUGGCAAUUUGAGCUCAGGUUCAGAGCUCCCUAUGUCAAAGUCUAUGACCAUUUGAACUGGCUCUUAUUCUGUGGUUUAUGGUAUCUUGUCAUCUAACCGUAGGCCUUAGAGAAAUGAAAUUGGCCUGAAGGCCUGAGUGAGGCUGGAGGGACAAUUUAGUAUACAAAGGACAUCAGGAGCUCCAGGAAGAAGAGCCAGAGAGUUUCACGGGUAUCUAGAGAGUGUCUUAAAUCUGAGGAAUUCUGUGGUCUGUGUUUUGUAUUUGAGGAAUUCCAUAUAGCUGUGUUACUAGAGUGUGAUCAAAACUCUUAGGAAAAUAGCCUACGGUGAGUAAAUAAUCCUUUACUGAGAUCUUUUGGCUACAUUUGUAGUUUGUCCUAGGAAGCUUUUUUAACAUACAGUUUGUGGUCAUAGUUUCAUUUAUUUACCUAUGUGUUAAAAUUGUAUAUAGUAA